ACCUGGGUGGCUCAGUCAGUUAAGCACCUGAUUUCAGCUCAGGUCAUGAUCUCACAGUUUGUGGGUUCGAGUCCCGCAUCGGGCU
rnacentral:tRNA from 1 species